rnacentral:sRNA from 1 species
AUACGAGCCUCCUACGGAUGCUGCGGUUACCAAGAUAACACCCGGCACCGGUCGAAAGCGUUU